rnacentral:rRNA from 1 species
UACGAAGGGGGCUAGCGUUGCCCGGAAUUACUGGGCGUAAAGCGCACGUAGGCGGCUUUCUAAGUCGGGGGUGAAAUCCUGGAGCUCAACUCCAGAACUGCCUUCGAUACUGGAGAGCUCGAGUCCGGGAGAGGUGAGUGGAACUGCGAGUGUAGAGGUGAAAUUCGUAGAUAUUCGCAAGAACACCAGUGGCGAAGGCGGCUCACUGGCCCGGUACUGACGCUGAGGUGCGAAAGCGUGGGGAGCAAACAGG